UAUGUAUUUCCUUGACGUAGAUAUAAACUAUAACCAAAUAAAUCUUUCACCAGUUCUUCCCUCUUACUUGUUCAACAUGUUACCAAUCUUACCCACUGAACUUAAAAUGGAUGAUUGAAAUCUAUUAUUUCAUAAACAAUUAUUUAUUUAAAAAUUUAAAACUAAGAUAAAGAUUGUAAAUAUAACCUAUCAUAUUAAGUUAUGUUAUUUGUUUGAUAGAAUAGCAAUGGAGAGACUCCUAAAAGAUAUUUAGAUGUAACAAACAGAGUGGAAAUCUACUCCUGUAAAUUUGAUCACGUGACUCAAUGUAGCAAUUUACAGAUAGUUGAAAUUACAGUCUUCAUUAUAUCAUGAUUUCAAUCUUCUGUGGAGGCAGGCAAUUAUGGAUCCAGAUUAAGUCAGAUUUUGUAGCUUCCACCGUGAUCCAAACCCCAGCCGAAGUUGCACCAAUACAGUGUCGUUCCCCACAAGUUCUCUCGGAAAGUGAAAUGGUAUUGAUCAUUGAUUUUAAGCUCAUGGAAACCUAGAUCAUCGUCUCCCGAUUUGCAGUGCAGGUAAAGAUCGUAAGUAUCCUCCAAGUUAUUGAUGAUGCGGACAUGGUAUUUUUUCAAAGGACUGCAAAUACAAGAUCGGGUCAUCGCCAGUGCCAAUGCCAUUAGCAGCCGUAACACAUAGCUGCUUGAAGUUCUCAUGCUACUGAUCGUAUGUUUGUGCUUUCUGUCGUGUGCAUAUUAUAAUUAUAUGACUGGUUGGUUUUUAUAAGCUCUUUUCUUUUUCAAUCUUUCA